CCCUUAGAUGUCCUGGGCCGCACGCGCGCUACACUGAGUGUCUGAGAUACGAGUCUGCCUGGUCCGGCAAGGUCUAGGUAAUCGCUAAAAGACACAUCAUGCUUGGGAUAGAUUAUUGCAAAUAUUAAUCUUGAACGAGGAAUUCCUAGUAAGCGCAAGUCAACAGCUUGCGUUGAUUACGUCCCUGCCCUUUGUACACACCGCCCGUCGCUACUACUGAUUGGAUGUUUAAGCGAGGUUCUCGAACUGCUAGCGACUUAGCUUCGAUGAGGUCGCAGUGUGGGAAGUGAACCUAGCUUUGGUGUCUAGAGGAAGUAAAAGUCGUAACA
rnacentral:rRNA from 1 species